CCUACGGGUGGCAGCAGUGGGGAAUAUUGGACAAUGGGCGAAAGCCUGAUCCAGCCAUGCCGCGUGUGUGAAGAAGGCCUUCGGGUUGUAAGGCACUUUCAGUGGGGAAGAAAGCCUUGGGGCUAAUACCCUCGAGGAAGGACAUCACCCACAGAAGAAGCACCGGCUAACUCCGUGCCAGCAGCCGCGGUAAUACGGAGGGUGCGAGCGUUAAUCGGAAUUACUGGGCGUAAAGCGCGCGUAGGCGGUCUGAUAAGCCGGUUGUGAAAGCCCCGGGCUCAACCUGGGAACGGCAUCCGGAACUGUCAGGCUAGAGUGCAGGAGAGGAAGGUAGAAUUCCCGGUGUAGCGGUGAAAUGCGUAGAGAUCGGGAGGAAUACCAGUGGCGAAGGCGGCCUUCUGGACUGACACUGACGCUGAGGUGCGAAAGCGUGGGUAGCAAACAGGAUUAGAUACCCUUGUAGUC
rnacentral:rRNA from 1 species